UAAUACAUGCAAGUCGAGCGAACGGACGAGAAGCUUGCUUCUCUGAUGUUAGCGGCGGACGGGUGAGUAACACGUGGAUAACCUACCUAUAAGACUGGGAUAACUUCGGGAAACCGGAGCUAAUACCGGAUAAUAUUUUGAACCGCAUGGUUCAAAAGUGAAAGACGGUCUUGCUGUCACUUAUAGAUGGAUCCGCGCUGCAUUAGCUAGUUGGUAAGGUAACGGCUUACCAAGGCAACGAUGCAUAGCCGACCUGAGAGGGUGAUCGGCCACACUGGAACUGAGACACGGUCCAGACUCCUACGGGAGGCAGCAGUAGGGAAUCUUCCGCAAUGGGCGAAAGCCUGACGGAGCAACGCCGCGUGAGUGAUGAAGGUCUUCGGAUCGUAAAACUCUGUUAUUAGGGAAGAACAUAUGUGUAAGUAACUGUGCACAUCUUGACGGUACCUAAUCAGAAAGCCACGGCUAACUACGUGCCAGCAGCCGCGGUAAUACGUAGGUGGCAAGCGUUAUCCGGAAUUAUUGGGCGUAAAGCGCGCGUAGGCGGUUUUUUAAGUCUG
rnacentral:rRNA from 1 species